GAGUACUGAGCUUGAGUGCAUUCUUCUAAGUAAAAGAAAUCCCUUAAUUUCAUCACACUUUCCUUCUUUUCCAACAGAAAAUGUCUUGCUGUGGAGGAAACUGUGGCUGCGGCUCUGGAUGCAAGUGCGGCAGUGGCUGCAAUGGGUGAUUCUUUCUUUCUUCGAAAAAAUCAAUUUGCUAUUAUUUUCUUUCAUUAAUUACUUCUUUGUAGUGCUGAUAAGAUUUCAAAUGAAUCUGACACUCAGCUUUUCUGUUUUUGUAAUAUCUUCCUCUGCAUGUACAUGGCAGAUGCAGCAUGUACCCAGACUUGAGUUUCUCCGAGACCACCACAAGUCAGACAAUCAUUGCUGGUGUAGCUCCAGUUAGGAUGUACGUGUCAGUCAGUCACAGUACUGCAGAUGAACUAUAUAGUCUUAGAACUUGUAGGGGAUUAAGGACUAAUUACUAGCUACUGCUGCUGCAGGUUCUACGAGAGCUCUGAGAUGAACUUUGGUGCUGAGAAUGGCUGCAAAUGUGGAUCAAACUGCACCUGUGAUCCAUGCUCCUGCAAAUGAGAAAACGUCGCCGCAUGGCUCCAACCAAGCAGUUUUAUGGAACUAUAAUAAAUAAAAAGAAGAAGUCUGGUCACUCCAUGUUUGUCUAAUAUAGUAUUUGCUGUAAAUUAAAGUACAGUUAGCUAGCCAUGGCCUCCUCAAAUCCUUUCUACAGGAUCUCAUUUGAUGGCUAGUAAUCUGUAAGUGUCUUGUAUUUCCUGCUGCUUUGUUGGUUCCAUUCCAUGGAAUUAUGUAUCUUUAAUCGGAAGCUUGAUUCUGCUUUUAUGUUUGUUGACUUAUUUCUUCUCUUUUGGUUCAUUUCAUAGACUUUUCGUUUGCUUUUACACUGUUGAUUUUGUCAUUUCUAAUCCCAAUGAGAUAACAAUCUAAAAUUAAUGAAGCAAUUCCUAGCAUUUGACUAUCUUGGACAGUAAUCAUUAUUAUAUACAAUAAUUCUAUCCUCCCUUUAAGCAGAAAAACUUUAACCACCCAUCCAAGACCUUAGCCACUCUCUCCCCCUUCGCUUUCUUAUCCGUGGUUUUCCAAGCUCGUAUGACAAAACAUAGCUUGCUUGAUUAUGUUUCCUUGAAAACAUGCUUUUCUUAUUACUUGUUCUUCAAUUGAUCAAGAUAUAUUUUAAAAAUAUAUAAUGUUUGGGUUUUUCACUGUAUUUAUUGACACAAUUUAAAGUGAAUUGUUACGAUAAUAUUAUCUUUUCACAUCUGAGCCAGAAAAAAAAAUGUUUUAGUUCCGAGAAUAAUUUAAUCUUUUUCAGUUAUUCAUUAGUUGUUAAGAGAUUAUUUAGGAGUAUGUUAGUAUUUUCCAUUUUUUUGCAUAAUAAAAAUAUAAUUUUACUUUUAGAAUUAACAAUUUAUUAAACUGUUCAUUAAGGGUUAUUUAGUCUUUUGAAAGAUUUUGAAAUAGUUAAAAUACUUUUUAACCUUGAGGUCAAAGAAAUUAGAGUUUUUGACCAAGAGUUUUUCUUUUUUAUUUUUACAUUUUAGAAUACAGUAUAAAUAUGAUUAUACCCUUAAAAGGCAUGUGUCUAGGGACGUUUGUGUACUUUCAUGGUGGUUUUUUUGGUGAUUUCUAGUCUCUAGAGAAAAUGCACUUUUGUCCUCUCUUCUUUAGAUUUGUCAAUUUCAGUCCUUAUAUUUUUUAUUGUUUAUUUUCAUCCCUGGUACUAUUAUAAAAGUUUUAAGUAUUUUUGUUGAGUCCUUAAAUUAUAAUUUUUCAGGUUUUAUUUUUUCAAUUUAGUUCUUAUUCUUUCAAUUUCUUAUUUUUUUCCCUUGGCUUUUUUGAUAAAGCUUUGUUAAUUUUUAAUUUUAUCAUUUAAUCAAAGUUUAUGUUGUUUUAUUAUUUUUAAUUUAGCCAUCAUUCUUUUGAUUUAUUUAUUUUUUUGUUAAAAUUUAUUUUUUUUAAAAUUAACCCUCCAAUUUAUUUAUUUUUAUCUUUUCUUUAGAUUUAUCAAUUUCAGUCCUUAUAUUUUUUAUUGUUUAUUUUCAUCCUUGAUACUAUUAUAAAAGUUUUAAAUGUUAUUAAUUUAGUCAUUGAAUUACAAUUUAUCAUAUAUAAUUUUUCCAAUUUAAUCCUUAUUCUUUUAAUUUUUGAUUUUUUCCCUAGACUUUUUUUGUUAAAGUUUUGUUGGUUUUUAAUUUUAUCCUUCAAUCAAAGUUUAUGUUGUUUUAUUGUUUUCAAUUUAGCCCUCAUUCUUUUGAUUUAUUUAUUUUCUGUUAAAACUCAUUUGUUUUUAAAUUAACUCUCCAAUUUAAGUUUUUUUAAUGCCAUCUAAUUAAUUUUUAUUUCAAUUUUCUCUUUUAUUUUUUUAAUCACAAUUUUUAUGUGUUUUUUUAAUAUAUAAUUUCAUCAUUCAGCUUUUGAUUUGAUGGAGAAUGAACUUCAAAGUUUUCUUAUUAAGGAGCUUAUCUAUUGACAUGCGUAACGAGGUUGAUCAAAGUAUUUUUUUAAAUAAAAAAAAUUCAUUUUCUUACUUAUUUAACAAAAGCAUGACUUUUUUCAUUAACAACAUUGUUUUUUUUUAACAAAAAAAACUUAAAGUAAUAAAAAUAAAAUUUUUGUAAGAAUUUAAAUGAUUAUAUAUGAUUGAAAUAUAUUUCUUUAGCCGAAACACUCCUUUCAUUAAUCAUUUAUUUAUUUUUUUGGGUUUUGACAAAAAAUAUUUUUUUUAUCAAGUGUAGUUUUUCAUAUAUCAUGAUUGGUAAGAUAGUUUUAAGCUAAGAAAAAAAUAUCUCAUUUUUUAAAGCGACUAUAAAAAAAUAAAAAAUAAUUAAUUUAAAAAUAAAAUAAAAAUUAAGAAUAAAAAAUAUUUUAAUCUCAUUGGGUAUUCAUAUACAAUCAUUUUUUAAAAAAAUAUGCAUAUUAAUUUUAAUAUAAUUAUGUAAGAAAAUUGAAAACAUAACCAUAAAUUUUUUUAAUUUGGGUUAAAAAAUAUUGGUAUAAUUAAAUAAUUUUUGAAAUAUCAUUCUAAUUAAAAACUUGAUUGAUAAGCCAUCUAAACUUUAUGGGUAAAAAUAAUAUUAUCAAACCCCAGCUUAAUAAGAUAAAUCAACUUAGUCCUAUAUUUUGGGUUUUAAAAAACUUUAGUUGGGUUGUAGGUUGAUCCAAUCGACCCUAUAAUCACUCCCAUAACUUAACUCAAGACUUAAUUCAUGAAUAAUAUAUAAGGUAAUCUAAUAAGUUGAUCAAAAUAAAUAUAAAAAUAACAUGGUUUUAAAAGAUUUUAAAAACAUAAACAUAAAACGACAUCAUUUAAUUUUUUUUUAAUUAAAUCAGAUUUUUACGAAAAUUAAACUAUCCUUAAAUUUAAAUAAGCUCCUCCUCCUCCGCUUAAAACCCGUUUGCACUUUCUGCCUUCUUCGCGCAGUAGCACAAGCACUUUACCACCAGCGCCACAAAAGCCAUGGAAUUGGAAGCCCAACAUCUUUAUUACAAUUCGAAUAGAAACCCAAUGGCAAAAUUUUAGGUUCGCUCUUAUCUCCUCAACUGACAGCUUUCCUAACAAUUUCUUUCCUUUUCUGUCCAUUUUUCUUUGUUCUUGGAUAUCCUUUUAAUUUCUGUCGUUUUCUCUUUUCCCUUUUUAGUGUUUUCUCUUAUUAAUAAUCAGCCAUUGGAUGCUUGCAUUACCAUUACAAUUGCUUUGUGUGUGUUUUGCGUCUAUGCACAUAAGAUGUUUGAUGUUUUUUCUAGCAGUCAAAAAAUGUAGUGCAAAUUAUGUAUUUGUUCUUGGAAUUUAUUUUUUAAUAAUGAUCGUAUUGGGAUUCCCUGCUUCUGUAAUCUCAUUAUUCAUAAGAAGCGAAAACAGCUUGUUUCCCUCUGUGUUGCGCGCUUGCUUUUAUUUUGUGCGUUUUGACUAAUCUUAACUGAUUUGGUGGGAUUCUGGGAUAUGUGAAUUCGGGCUCUGACUGGGUGGUGGAAAUGAGCUCAUGUGGUGCUUUUACAGAGGAGAGAGUUUUUAUUGGGGUUGCCACCCAGCAAGGGCUUCUUUUAGUCAUUAUGGAAUUUUCUGUGUUAAGUUUAACAGCUUUGAAUGACGAAGGAUCCUUUAGGGAUUUAGGUAUAAGUGAGAGAUUUAAUAUGAUAGGAGCGAACCUUCAGGAUUGAUUAUGGCUUGUUACAAAUAUGUAACAUAUUGAUAUAGAAUCACCCUUUGUAUGUAUCUGUUUCAAUUUUAGCUAUCGGUGAGCUGGUGCACAAACAGAACUAAACACAAAUGAGAAACUUAUGCGUGUCAAUUUUGUAAAGAACUUGUUACCUAAAUAGAGAUCUUACCAAUUUUCCAGUUACUGUUUCAUUGAAGGAGGUUGAUCGCAUAACACCACAGAAGGGUCAAGGUCAAGCAGAAAACUUUGCAAUUCCUGUUUCAAGUAUGUUGAGUAAGCAACAACUGGAACAAAGGUUAAUGUUUCAGUUAUUUAUGUUCCCUACCAUUUGCUGCAGCAGCUGUUAUGGAGGCAAUGGUAACUGAGUUGAGUUUUAUUGUCUGCAUUAGAGGGAAUCACUUAGCGUUAUCUGGUAAGAAGAUUUUAUAUUAGCUGCUUCCACUUUCAAGUAGGAUAUAUAUCCUUGUCAAAAUUUUGAUGCUGGCUGACUUUUGGUUUUACUUUUAUGCUGCACCUGUUAACCUUUUCAGGCGCUAGUAUCCAAUUGGAGAAAAGGAAAAACCUUUAUACUUUUCCUCUAGUCCACUUGUCCUGAAAUACAGAAAAGCAUGCAGGCACUAGCUCUUUUGAGGCAUCGCCGGUUCUCACAAACAAUUAAUCAAACACUUUUUAUCCCCUCUUUAUCUGUCUAUCAAACACCUUAUACUUGCUUCAACUUUCUAAAUACCCACACAAUUGAUAAAUUUCCCAAGAAAAGCUUAGACCCAGAAGGACCGAAGUGCUUAUCUUCGAGAAUUGAGAAACUUCCGAGAGGAGAAUCAGUUGGAUAUGCCUUUCAAAGCUGGAUGGGCGAGGGUUUUCCCAUUCAUCGAGGUGAUGUUUUUCACACUAUUAAUCGCUUAAGGAAGCUCAGAUUAAACAAACGCGCACUUGAGGUGUGUUUAUUAGUGUUGUCUUUAUAGUUCUUUGAGAACAUAACUUAAAUAGCAAUGUUAGUUCUUGUCUAAAUGCUUUAACGAGUUACACCACAACAUUUUAUCAGGUGAUGGAAUGGGUAGUAAGGGAGAGGCCCUACAGGCUCAAGGAACUAGACUACUCUUAUUUGUUGGAAUUCACAACCAAACAUCAUGGGAUAUCACAUGGCGAAAAGCUCUUCUUGCAUGUCCCGUCUGAGUUUCAGAACGAGUUGCUGUAUAACAAUCUUGUAAUUUCAUGCUUGGAAAAAGGUGUCAUUAGGCUUUCACUUGAUUACAUGAAGAAAAUGAGGGAACAAGGUCAUCCCAUUUCAUAUUUGAUUUUCAACCGCCUUAUAAUCCUCCAUUCCUCACCUGGCAGUAGGAAAAUGAUCCCGAAAAUCCUUGCUCAAAUGAGGGCUGAUAAGGUGGUUCCCCAUGUUUCAACAUAUAAUAUCCUGAUGAAGAUUGAAGCAAAUGAACAUAAUGUUGAUGGGUUAGUGAAGGUAUUUAAUGAUAUGAAGAGAUUUAAAGUUGAGCCGAAUGAAGUAUCUUUCUGCAUAUUAGCUACCGCGCAUGCAGCGGCAAGGUUGUAUACUGUGGCUGAAGCAUAUGUUGAAGCUGUGGAGAAGUCAUGUAGUGGAGACAACUGGUCAACACUUGAUGUUUUGAUCAUAUUGUACGGACAUUUAGGAAAGGAGAAGGAACUAGAAAGAACUUGGGGCAUUGUACUAGAACUGCCUCAUGUUAGGUCUAAAAGUUACAUGCUUGCAAUUGAAGCAUAUGGUAAAAUUGGACAGCUUAGCCGAGCUGAAGAGCUUUGGUUAGAGAUGAAGUCAAUACAUGGGUUGAGAUCAACUGAGCAGUUCAAUUCCAUGUUAUCCGUGUAUUGUAAACAUGGGCUUAUUAAGAAAGCAACUGGGAAUUUUAGGGAAAUGGAGAUCAAUGGGUGCAAAGCAAAUUCCAUAACUUUUCGUCAUCUUGCAUUGGGUUGUUUAAAGGCUAACUUGGUGGAGGAAGCCUUAAAGACUCUAGAAAUGGGGAAAAACUUGACAACAAGCAAUAGGGUAAAGAAUUCAACCCCAUGGUUGGAGACUACUCUAUCAAUAAUUGAACUUUUUGCAGAAAAGGGUGAUGUAGUUAACGUUGAGAAGUUGUUUGAAGAACUUGCGAAAGCAAAGUACAUAAGGCAUACAUUUGUAUUCAAUAUUUUAAUAAAGGCUUACGUGAAAGCCAAGAUUUACAGUCCAAAUCUCUUGAGAAGGAUGAUUUUAGGGGGUGCUAGGCCAGAUGCUGAGACAUAUAGCCUGAUCAAACUUGCUGAGCAGUUUCGACCCUGAUUUUGAUAUGCUCAAAAAGAAUUGACAACAAGCAAUAGGGUAAAGAAUUCAACCCAGUGGUUGGAGACUACUCUUUUAAUAAUUGAAUUUUUUGCAGAGAAGGGUGAUGUAGUUAAUGCUGAGGAGUUUGAAGAACUCACAAAAACAAAGUACACAAGGGAUGCUUUUGUAUUGAAUAUCUUAAUAAAGGCUUAUGUGAAAGCCAACAAUCCAAAUCUCUUGAGAAGGAUAUUUUAGGGGGUGCUACGCCAGAUGCUGAGACAUAUAGCCUGAUGACAGUUUCGACCUGAUUCUGGUAUGCUCAAGUUGUUAUUGCUGUACUUCUACAUUUCAUUCAUUUUCCUUAACAAAAAUUAUAAUUGUUUAUUGUAUCAAUAUUUGUAUGUGGAAACAAAAGGUGAAGAAAUCGAGUGUGAUCUUGUAGGUAACAAGAAAUGGUGUUCCUUCUGUAUUUCUCGUCAAGUGUGUUCUAUUCUCAACAACUUGCUUUUAGAAAUUAAAUAUGUUUGAACUUGUAGGACCUCAUUUGCUCUCAUACUAUGCAUCUCUACAAGUGCCUUUCACCGAUACGUUCUUUAUGCUAAAUCCAAAAAAACAAAAUAUAUAGUAUAAGAAAAAAUACCCCAUGCGAUUACUCCAGUUAACAUUUGGUUUCAUUUUUCUUCUUUUCGUGAUUGUUAUGCCCAGUGGAAAUUCAGUUAUUGCAACUUUUAUUUUGAUUUAUUAUAAUUUGUAAGAAAAGAUAGCGUCUCUUAAAGGGCUCAAGAGCAAACAACCUUCGAGCUGAAUCACCCAUGAAAAAUGCUGUGAAAUGUUCCUUUCUCUCAGCCAUGGUUCUCUCUUUAUGAAUAAUUAACUUGGGUUUGACUUUGCUAUUGUAUUGAUUUUAGUUACCGUCAGAAGAUUUCAUAGACGACAGUAUGGCAUAAAGAAUAGUCCAGUGGUGGUGGAGACAUAAAACAAGAAGUCAGUAAUGCUAAGGGACGGUGGUGCAAGUGAUGACACCGAAUAUUUUUUUUGAAGGUCGGAUCAUUCAUAAAGUUGCAGCUAUAGCCAACUUACCAGGCUGCUGCUAUGAUGCUUCUACCAUGUUUUCUGCAAUUGGAGGCCGUCUGAUCGUUCGAUGGGGCUGUGAUAUGAUUGUGGGCUGCAAUUACUGCUGUUUCCUUUGUUUUUCAUCACCACAAGUGCUCUGAGCUGCUGCUAUUGCAAUUUUUAUUUGUUGCUGCCGAAAUUAUUAUUUAUCAAUGUGGUUGCUAUGUUCUCUUCUUUGACGGCUACCUGUGGUUUUCUGCUCUCAUUGAUAUUAUGGUUCGUCUAAUUUCUUCUGGAAUUCUUUCACCCAGUUUUGCUUCUCGUAAUAAAAAUUAUGUUUUGUUUCUUGUAUUAUCGAAACAAAAAAUAAUAUAAUAUUUGCUAAUUAGAUUUAUUGUCAGAAGUAAACAAGUUUAAUUGCCCCCGAGCGCUCCGUUCCGAGAAUUGUAUUUAUCUAAUUUUAAAAACUUUUAUUGGUGAAAAAAUUUGAUACAUGAAUCUGUCUAGGUACAGUUGUGCUGUUUGUUUAUGUAUUUUUUAAUAUAGAAAAAUAAUUUUUUUAUUCAUAGCAUGACAUUUUUAAUAAAAGCUUUUUAUGAUUUUAAAAGCAAGUUUCACUAAAAGAGAAAAAAAUAUGCAUUAUUAAAAAAAUAAAGGAAUAAUUAAUUUGAGAAAAUUAUACCAAAACUUCAAAAAAAAAAAACAAGAUAUUAUACUCAUUGAAUAUUUAUGAGAAACUUAAAAAAAUAAUAAUAUUAAAUUCAUGUAUAAUUAAUUAGAAAGUAAUUAAUAAUAUUAUCAUUAAGAACAUCUAAUCUCAUUUGAAAAGCAUGAUAUCAUUGUAUAACAAAUAUUAGUCACCUCUAAUAAUUGAAAAUUUAAGGUUGAGUUUUUUAACUUUUCAAAAUCUAAUUAUCAACUUUUUUUUCAUCUAAAAAAACAUAUUUAGAUGAUUAAAGAUCCAAACAAUUUUCAUUGAACUCUUCUAAUUCGUUGAACUCAAGAUUUUUUUUUAUGACCAGAAUAUGAUCAACUAAAAGUUUUCUAUCUCUUUUUUCCUUACGAAAGUUUUUUCUCUUUUCUCAUGUCUGUUAGGGACUGAAAUGUAGAAAAAAAACAAAAUUUUAUGAAUGAAAUAUAAAAUUUAAUAAAAACAAGAAUCAAAAUGUAGAAAGAAGCGCCUCUUAAAUUGUAAAAAAAAGAAAAAAAAACUUUUUUUUUUUAUUGUUAAUCUCAAUUCUUAUUUUUUCAAUUAUAUUUUUUUAACUAAAUCUUAUAAAAUCGAAUCAAUAUAACUUGUAAGGAUGAAAAAACAAAGAAAAAAAAUUUAAUGAUUAAAGCGCAAAAAAUAAAAAAAAUUAGGGAUAAAAAAAUGCUAUGAAUAGUAAGGGAACAUGUCAAUGAGUAUAAAUGUGACAAUACAAUAAAUUUAACAAUUGGACUAUGCAAAAUAAAAGACAAACAAUUAAAAUUAAAAGGAUAGACAAAACAUGAGAUGAAAAUAGAAUUGUAUUUGGUAAUAAUAUAUAAGACAUUAUGAUUAACUCUUUAUUUUGUUUAUUUAAUGAUGGAUAAAAUAUAAUAAAAUUCAAAAAAGUUUAUUUUACCCUUGACAUGUAUAAUUAUAUAUUUGUAACAAUAAUUAGAUAUUUUUAUUUUUAUUUUAGUUUAUAUUGAGUAUUAAAAUUUUAUUUUAACUAAUUUAAAAAAAACACAAAUAAAAUAAUAAGUUAUUUUGUUUAGUGCAUUUAUUUAUCAAUAUAAACUAGAAAUUAUAUAAUAAAUUAUAAUUUACUGUGGCUACUAAUUUUCUUCAGUGUUUAUUUGAUGGAAUGAAAAAGUUAGUUCCGAAGAAUAAUAACACACAUAAAAAAACAUUUCUUAGAAUAAAAUAUUGAAAAAUACAUAAUAGACAAAAAAACAAAAAUGCAUCAGUAAAGAAAAAAAAAAGAGCGAAGGUAUUACUUAGACACCAGGCUUUGAACUAAGCCUCAGCUUGAAAUUAAGCCUACAUGUGCUGGGCAGGAAUGAAGCCCGAGAUGGACUAGCCAUUUGGAAUACGUGUCAUCCAGUGGUAUCUUCUUCAACCUCUUGUCAGUUUCUAUAUUUGUCCACCAAAUUUCUCUGAAAAUGCUCCUUUCAACACUCACAAUGGUUUUUUUACUGUUUCUUUCUUGUUCAAUUUUUUCAUUCACAUGGGUUUUUUUUCUCCCCCUUGCUGAUAACUAAUUACUGAACAUUCCAUUUUUAUCUCCAAGCAUUCCAUAGAUCCUCAACAAAGGUGUUUGAAAGGACAACUUUUUAUUAAGAGAGAAACCAUGCCCCUGCUGAAACUAGAUCCUUGCAUGAACCAGCAACGAAGUUUUAUGCAUGGUGAGGAAAUUGAAAAACCAAAAUAACUAUAGCUGCGAUAGUUUUAUGGAGUAAAAAGUCCUGCAUAUUUACACGAUUCAAACCAUGGAUCUUGUCUUUGAAAACAUAGUUCGUAACACAGAUCCUCCUAAUUUGGCAAGACUCACUUGUUCGCUCUGGGUUGUCCUUGAAACUCAUUACAAAAGUACAAAUCAUUUAGCGCAGGAAACGCACUCAAGCGUUCCAGAGAGAAAGAAGGAUUACUGAAAAGAACCAGCAACCUCAUUUUUUAAAUUCAACCUUAUGUGUAGAAUUCUCUUAUGACUACACUUGGACCUUUAAUAUUAUAUUAAAAAAACCAUUAAAAACCUUUAAUAUUAUUUGAAAAGCAGUAUCAUCGUAUUGAAUGAUUAUUAAAAUAUCAUUUUAAUUGUUUUAUAUGAAAAUAAUUUUAUUUUAGCAUAUUAAAAAAUUUUAAAUAAAAAGAAGGGCCACCAGACACAUUCUAGGUGUGCUUGGACAUGAUAAGUCAGGCCCACUCACAUAACUUUUACAAAACAUAUAUUAGACAUGUUUGAGUUUGACAAGUCAAACCUGUGUACUUGGUUCCUUACAAAAAGCCCAAAUACACCUAGUUUUUAUUUUUUAAAGUAAGCAAACAACACAUCAUUUACUGCAACAAAUUUUGAUCAUCUUCGAUAAUAAAAAAAAUAUGAGUCCAAUUGAGAUCUCCAAAACUUAAUUUUCAACAUUUUUUCACCUAUAAAAUAAAAUAAAAAAUAUUUUUAGAGCCUUGAUAACCCCUUCUAAAAACUCAAGAUCAAAUUAAAUUUUUUAUACUUCGACUUAUUUUUUUCAAGUAUAAUUAGGUUGUGUUUGGUUAGUGUUCUGGGAUAGAAAAAAUAGAUAUAAAAAGAUAAAAACAUGUUUGGUUGGAGGGACAAAAAUAAAAAUAUAAAAUAAAUAUAUCUUUGUUAUCAUCAAGACGAACCUAUUGAUAACAAGAUUGAUAUUUUUUGUAGCUGGAAUAUGAUCAGUCAAAAGUUUUCUCUCCUUUCACUUUCCAACGGUUCUCUUUUCUUUAUCAACCGCAAGAAAAUGGGAUGUAAGAGAGAAGAAAUUCUAUGACUGAAACAUAAAAUUUUAAAUAAAUAAGGGACAAUGUAGAAAGACACUCCUCUCGAACAAAAAUUAAAAAAAAAACAACCUUUUUUUCCAUUUUUUUUUAUUCAUUUAGUUAUUUUUUAAUUGAAUCCUAUAGUAGUAUUUAUUAAUAGUAAUCUCUGAUAUAACGAAUAAAUAAAACCGAAUUAAUAUAACUUGUAAGGAUAAAAAAAAGAAAUAAAGUUUAAUUAUAAAAGCAUAAACAAAAAAAAACAAUCAGGGACUAAAAAAAGAAUAUGAACACUAGGGUGAAUAGCAUGAGUUUACAUGAACAAUGGUAAAAUAGUAAAUCCUUUAUCUAUUUUAACUUUUCAUAUGUAGUGUAUAACUAAGAAAAUAAUCACAAAAGGAUUAACUUAUAGUAUAAAAUUAGCACAUUAGCUCGUACUCUGCAGCGGAUCAAUAUCAUUGUUUUUUUUUUAAAAAAAUUUAAAAGUAUAGAGAAUGUUUUAAACUCCUUAAAUUUGACAAUCAUGCAAGACUCAAGCGAAUUGGGUUUGAUGGUCAAUCCAGACCCAAGAGACUUAGGUCUGACGGUCAUGCCAAACUCAAGAGCCGUGGGCCUGGGGCCAUGCCAGACCCGCACCUGGGUUUGGCACCAAACAUGAUUGCCAGACCCAAGGCCCUUGAGCCUGACAUUGGUGUCAGACCCAAGUAAACAACAUACAAACAAACAAAUGAUAAUUAUGCAUUUUAGUUGUCAGAAGAGAGAAAAGAAAGAAAAAACAUAUGUCGACCAUACCAGACCCAAGAGCCGUGGGUCUGGGGCCAUGCCAGACCCACACCCGAGUCUGGCAACCUUAGCAUACCCGCGCCUGGUUCUGGCAACCGUGCUAGACCCACGCCUAGGUCUGAAAACGUUAACAAACCCGCGUUUGGUUCUGGCAACCAUGCCAGACCCCUACGCCUUAGUCACUUGUGCCUGAUUCUGGCACCAAAUAUGGUUGUCAGACCCAAGGCUCUUGGGCUUGAUAUUGUUGACAGACCCAAGGACCUUGGGUCUGGCGUGAUACCUAAACUCAAGUAGUUUGGGUCUGACAUGUUUGUCAGACCCAAGCAAAUAAAGAACAAUUAUGCACUUUAGUUGUUAUGAGAGAAAAAGAGAGAGAGAAAAAAAAACACAAACAAUCGAAUAUUGGCUGUAAUUCAACCAUGAUAUCUCUACACGCGUCGCACCAUGUGAAAGAAGGCACAUCUGUACAUCUAUCUAAACGAUAUAUGACCAAAUUUAGACACUGGGAGGUGUCUCACACACCUCAUUAACAGAGUGGGCAACGCCCACUCGUUGGGGCGUGUGGAGCACAUAACAACAGUUUUUUGAAUAAAAAGUAGAAAAGAUAAUGUGAAAAAUACUAAAAUGCCCCUCAUAGUCCUUUUAAUUACACACCAUAUAUAAAUAAAUUUCACUAUCACAAUCUUGUGUCUAGAACUAUAGUAAAAACCCAACGUUAUUUAGCUUUCUUUAUAACUAGAUGUGUGGACUUGCAUUAUUUUGUGGGUUCACAUUAUUAUUAUUAUUAUUAUUAUUAUUAAAAAAUGAUGUUAGAAAAAAUAUUAUUUUAAAAAAAUAUUUAUUAUAAAAAAGUUAAAUCAACUCAAGCUAAUAUCAUCUAGAUUAUAUUAUCAAAAUAAAAAAACACAAAAAAAUUAAUCACAAAGCUGGUUAAAAAAAAACAGCAACCGAAAAGUAGUGUGCUAGGAAAAAAUAUUUACACUGUCUGAAAUAGUGUUUCUCCGAGACCAGUUAUUUUUUUUUUUAAAAAAAAAGAGAGAGAGGUGAAUAUGGAUUGGUGCGUGCCUUGGUUCGCUUCGGGCCUUGGAUGCAGAUUUCUUUUGGAUUGUUUGCUCCUGCCUAUUAUUUACUUUAGGUUGACUGGGCGUGAUCCUUUAUUGAAUCCUUUUUUUCUUUCACCAAACCGAAAAGUAGUGUACUAGGAUAUACUACGUUCAUUCAGAGUCAAAAUCUUCAAGCAAUGUCAGACACAGCAACUCCGGCUCAAUUUCCGGGCACGGACCAGCCUGUACCCAAUCAAGAUGAUGCCCUCCGUCAAAACGGCUCAGUUAUCGACCCCAACACCCGCACCACCGCCGUUGAAACCCUAACCAGACCGAACAACAAAGGCAAUCAACAACCGGUGACGCCUGUUCGAGCGAAGAGAAGAUCAUCAGAAACGACCAUUGAGACGAGUUGGUUGCCGCCGGGAUGGGUUGUUGAAGAUCGGAUUAGGACCUCUGGCGCGACAGCUGGCACCGUAGAUAAGGUUAGUUGCAGUUCGUUCUCAGUUAAUUAGCAUUUUUUUCAUCAAAUUAGAUUUUCUCGUUUCUGGGGAGAUAAAUGCAUUAAUGCUUCAUGCUUGCUUAAUCUUGGAUAUGAAAAAAAAAAAAAAACUGAUAGACUCAGCUGCUAUCUUACAAAUAUUUGUAAUCUCAUAAAACGAGACUUAUUACAGCAUUAUCACUAAUUUAUGAAAAUACUUUUAGGUUGUGAGAGCUAGAAUUUUGUUGUAAAACUUUAUUUUCAAACAUUGAAGCAGUUGGGGAUUUUUAUUUUCUCUACAUUCAUUCAUUGUAGCUUGCAUCUAAUAUGAGAACAUAAAUGCUUGCGUAUUGUAGUUUUAAGGGUUUCUGUAGCAUGGGGCGUUGGUCAAAACUUGAGUUGGGUCAAAUUCAAAUGGUGUUUCAGUGUUAGCCACUUUGAACAACUAUAUUCAUGUAUUUAAGGGAUAAUAAGUAGUAUUCAGCUCUGUUUUAGCUACCAACAUAUGUUUGACAUGGGUAAAGGAAAAUGGUGUAACAGCACAGCUCAUGACAUGCUUCAUGGACUUCUUCCGUAAUCAUCAAAUGCUGUUAGUAACUCCCUGUGUUCAGGCUCUGGGAUGUUGACCAACUCGCACAUGCACAUACUCACAGGAUUUUUCUCCUAUAAAAUAAAGUAAAAGAAUGUGCUAAUAUAGGUGACGAGGGUUCCCAACCAUUUAGAGAAGUAAAAAAACUACACAUAGAUGCGGCGUUCUUUCUCUACAGAUCAUGGGCUAAACAUGACUACUUAUUCAGUCAUGAUGUGCCAAAUCUUAACAACAAGCAAAGACGAGGAAAUAGAGAAACAGGAUAAUAGAGGUCUGGAGGACAAUUGAUCCACCGAUUCAUGUGGAUUGUUGGGGAAACAAAGACAUAAGAGAGGACAGAGGACGUUAGAAGAGGGAAUGAGAAAUAAACAUGGAAAUGUGUGAUGGAGACGAAUAUAGCGGUGAAAAUAGGAACGGAUAUACGUGUAGACUUACACUUUUAUAUGUUUUUCUAAUAAAUCAUUACAUUGAAUAUAGAAACAAAUAGUGUGCUUUAAAGGCAUUGGUGAUUUUAGAAAGUAAUUGGCAAUUAACUCCAAGGCAAAGGCAGAUUUUUAGAGGUUAAUAUAAGGCCAAAAAAGAAGGUGCUAUUUAUUUUUAUUUUAUUUCUCAUGGCCAGAAGGCACUAUUUGUUGUUGAAAAUUCAUUUAAACUAUCUUUAUGAAGUGGAUCUUUUAGCCUGUCAUUAUCUUUUUUAGUUUCCAUUCAUAGCAACUAUAGUUUUUUUUUAUCUACUAUAUCUGAUUACUUGUGACUAAAUUGAAGACAACAAACUAUAUCUUUACCUAAUUUUUUGUUUAUAGUUUUUUUUUUUUUAAGAUUGGAUCAAUGUUUGAAAUAGCUUUUUAUUUUUUAUUUUUCAAUUUUGGAUCUAUCUGCUUAAAUGCAGUGACAUCUGGAAAGUCAUUUAUGGCCUUAAUUGCAUCUUAUUUCUGAAAAGUUUGUUAAGUUCAAAAGCUCUUUGGUUUCUACCUUUGUAGAGGUUGAAGAUACCGCCUUACAAAUCAAAAGUCCUAAUCAAACAAAGAUAUUCUUAAAAUCAUGGAGAAGCAUAUCUUUGAGGUCCUGAAAAUCCAGUAUGUAACUAUAGAAAAAGCAAUGAAGAUGGUGUAGUGUUUUUCCCCUAUUCCAAUUGCUUCUGCCAUUAAACUUGUAGCAAUAUAACUUUAGAGUCAAAAUAAAAUGUCUCUAAUUAUUAUAAGCUUUGUUGUAAGAAUUCAUGCCACAGCCAUAGCCAUACUUUUGUGAUUUCUGCCGGCAACAUUAAAAGUUAUGUUUGGAAUAUUAUAUUUUAAAAAUCAUGUAAUCAAUGACACGUUGAUAUUGUGGAGCAAAUAAAGAAAUAAAGUAAAUAUUUUAAACAAGUCUUUUUUUUCCCCUUACCAUGCUUACUACCAAGUGGAUUGAAAAUUUGAAAUAGAUUAUCUAAAAACAACCUUGAAGCUUGAUAUAUUUCUCUUUCUAUUCUCAACAGCUUUAAUUAUCUAUCAUAAGAUCCUUUUCCUUUUCAUUUGAUUUUAGAGUUCUCUUUCAUAGUUUCCAUAGAGUUAUAUUUUUAUAUUUACUUUAUUCUCCAUGUCAAUAUUGACUGUAGAUGAAAACUAAUAGAAAAUAACUCUAAUGUUAUUAUACAUAUAUUAUAGGGUAAAUUUAACUAAAAAAUCUUAUAAAAUCCUUCCCAGGUAUUUAAGCAUUUUUAUUAUAUCCUGCAUGCAAAGCACAUAUUAAUGACUGUACAAAUAAAGUAAAAGAAUGUGCUAAUAUAGGUGACGACUGUUCCCAACUAUUUGUAGAAGUAAAAGAAACUGCCGAGUGCACUAUCUAUACAACAGAUGAACAAUAUACAAGAUUACCCAUGAAACUUUAGAACUCCUCUUCAUUAGCAAAGAAGUCUUAUUCUGUGUGCCAAUUGCCAAAAGUGCUGUGUUUAACCCAAACGCUCUCUGAAGAAUUGAGAAUAUAUCUUCUCGUUAGAUUGCUCUCUGAAUUCACUCAUUUUACGAAACCCAAAAUACUGCUAAAAGUAUACAUAUCCCACAUGUCCUUUUUUCUUGCACAAAAUUCACAAUCUCCAAGCAUUUAGCUCUUCAUCAACUAAAUGUAAGAUGUUGAUAAAUAAAGCUGCCUCCCUGCAUGCUAAAAAAAAAAAAACAGAGAAAGAAAGAAAAAAAACUCCAUUAACCUAGAUUUGUCCAAUUUUCUAAGAAUUGUUUAUGGUUAGAAUUGUUCCUCAAGCUGCCCUUAUGUGAAAAAAAGGAAUAACACACUUAGAGACAUGACAUGAUAGAAAAAAGCAAACUGUUUCUGUUCUCAUUUCUCAAAGUUCAGGAAUGGUUGGAAGAAGCUUCAGUAUGCAUGGCCAGAAUAAUUCAGAGCUAUGCCACUCUUGAGAUGAAGAAGCAUUUUGAGAGUGAUUAGAUUUUGCUAUUGUCUUUACAAUGUCAGAUCUUACUUUUAUUGCGUGGCUAGAUUCAGUGUUCUGAUUCCAUCACAUGACAUACAUAACUGUGGUUUUAAUCUGUGUUUUUUAUUUUCUAGAUUAGAUGUUAGAAGUCUUUUGGUAAAAGAGAGAAUUGUAUCAAAAUUACUAUUUUGACAAAUGGACUAUUCGUUUUGAUAGUAAAAUUUCAAGCAUCAACUAAAUGGUCUGUGUCUCGUGCAGUAUUACAUUGAUCCUGCCUCAGGUCGUAAGUUCAGGUCCAAGAAAGAUGUUCAAUAUUAUUUGGAAACUGGAACUUUAAAGAAGAAGGGAAAAUUGACUGAGAACUCUGAUGCCGAUACUAAUGUGAGUAAGAAAUCUCUGUUUAGACUAAAGGAUCGGCCCCUCUAUUUCUCUUAUGACAUUUUGUUUUUCAUCUGAACUAACUUGUAUAAUUUCGGAAGUCUGCAGGGAAUUUAAAGGUUGAUAAAAACAAGUCUGGCGCAAACACAAGUUUUGCUUUGAACUUUGAUUCUUUUAAUGUUCCUGAUAGGACCGAAUGGGUUCUUGCAAAUGCAAAAGAAGAUACCUGGAUUCCCUUCAUUGAUGGUAAAAAGGUACCUCUAUACGAUAAGGAACAGUGGGAUUUUGCAUUUGCAUCUCUGACGACAAGCAGUCAUGGUAAAAGAAAGCGAUGAGACUUGAAACUUGAAAGCGUGUGGAAUGUAGCCCGCAGUAUUAUCGAGGGACAGUUUUAAAGAGUCUGGGAGUCUUCAUUUUCCUUUUUUUGUGGCCAUUUAUUUUACAGCUUUCUGUUCAUGAAAUUUAUCCGGUCUAGCUCUAGCAACAGUCAUAAUUCAAAUAGUUAUUUUUUUUAUAUCAUAAUUCUAGCCACAGUAAAUCAAAUAGUUUUCUUUAUCAAAUCGAUCCGGUCUAGUUUAAUGUCACAGACUCACAGCAAUUCAAAUAGCUUCUUAUCAGAUCUUGUCUAGUUCUAUAUUGGCUCCUGUUUGUGUUCUCUCUUAAUUCAGUGUUUCUUUGAGGUGGCUCCUGUGGGCACUAGUCAGUGCACUCUGCGCUAAGGUGCUGCGAUUAGGAUUUAAUUUGUUGUGACGAAGAAGAUAUCGGCAUUGUGUAUAUUUUUGUUUAAUAUUAUAAAAGGUUAAAAUUGAGAAUCGAAAAGAUGAUGCUUUUAUUUUAUAAAAUAAAUUGAAAAAAAUAUAAAUUUAUAAAUUCUAGAAAGAGUUGUUAAUGCCAAUUAAAGUUAAAAUAUGUUAAUCUUCAUCGACAUUUUACCUUGCAGGUAAUUUUUUGUUUUUGUAUUUAUUUGUAUGUAAUAAAAAUAGAUAUUUAUAAGAAAGAUAACAACUUUGGGUUGUAUUUAGCGAUAAAAUCUAUAAUAUUUAAGCAAUAACUACUGAUAUUUAUUUUAUAAGCCAUUUUGAAAGAAAAAACAAAUAAAAAUAAAGAUCACAUUUGGAUCCACUAAAUGUAAUUAGAAUAUUUCUACUUGGGUUUAAAUUAUAUAUUUUUUAAUUCUUUUUAUCAUGUUUCUUUCUUCUCUUUGUUUUUAUCCCUUUUCUAUAAAUAAUUAGUAGUUACUUCUUGAAGAUAAUAUGAUAGAAAGGCUUGGCUUUUAUUGUGCACGUAAAGACCUAUCAAACUUUUAGGUGAAAGAAAAUAUAAUAAAAGGACUCGUUGAACUUUUAGUCAAAUUUAACCCAACCCCUGACCUUUUAUUUUCUUUUUAUUUUGGUCCCUUAAACUAUUAGGUCUAAGUAAUCGACCUCCUCUGUUAAAAACAUACGGUUGUUAAUUGUUAUAGCUGGUUCUGGUGGGGUUAAGAUUUCGUUUGGGAACGCGGCUGCGUUCUUAAAAAAUUUGAAAUUUUUUUUUUUUACUAAAAUUUAAUAUGGUUUGUAUAUUUUGGAUCGUUUUGAUGUGCUGAUAUCAAAAAUGAUUUUAAAAAAAUGAAAAAACAUCAUUGGCAUG
rnacentral:lncRNA from 1 species